rnacentral:rRNA from 1 species
UACGUAGGGACCAAGCGUUGUUCGGAUUUACUGGGCGUAAAGGGCGCGUAGGCGGCGCGGUAAGUCACUUGUGAAAUCUCUGAGCUUAACUCAGAACGGCCAAGUGAUACUGCAGUGCUAGAGUGUGGAAGGGGCAAUCGGAAUUCUUGGUGUAGCGGUGAAAUGCGUAGAUAUCAAGAGGAACACCUGAGGUGAAGACGGGUUGCUGGGCCAACACUGACGCUGAUGCGCGUAAGCCAGGGGAGCAAACGGG